GACUAACGCUGGCGGCGUGCUUCACACAUGCAAGUCGAACGGAGUGGCGAACGGGUGAGUAACACGUAGGUGACCUGCCCUGCACUUCGGGAUAAGCCUGGGAAACUGGGUCUAAUACCGGAUAGUGUGGGAUGGGCCCGCGGCCUAUCAGCUUGUUGGUGGGGUAAGGGCCUACAAAGGCUGCGACGGGUAGCCGGCCUGAGAGGGUGGACGGCCACAUUGGGACUGAGACACGGCCCAGAGUCCUACGGGAGGCAGCAGUGGGGAAUAUUGCACGAGGGGCGGAAGCCUGAUGAAGCGACGAAGCGUGGGGGAUGACGGCCUUCGGUUUGUAAACUCCUUUCACCAUCGACGCGGUAGAUGGAGAAGAAGCACCGGCUAACUACGUGCCAGCAGCCGCGGUAAUAC
rnacentral:rRNA from 1 species